GAUGAACGCUGGCGGCGUGCCUAAUACAUGCAAGUCGAGCGAAUGGAUUAAGAGCUUGCUCUUAUGAAGUUAGCGGCGGACGGGUGAGUAACACGUGGGUAACCUGCCCAUAAGACUGGGAUAACUCCGGGAAACCGGGGCUAAUACCGGAUAACAUUUUGAACCGCAUGGUUCGAAAUUGAAGGGCGGCUUCGGCUGUCACUUAUGGAUGGACCCGCGUCGCAUUAGCUAGUUGGUGAGGCAACGGCUCACCAAGGCAACGAUGCGUAGCCGACCUGAGAGGGUGAUCGGCCACACUGGGACUGAGACACGGCCCAGACUCCUACGGGAGGCAGCAGUAGGGAAUCUUCCGCAAUGGGCGAAAGUCUGACGGAGCAACGCCGCGUGAGUGAUGAAGGCUUUUGGGUCGUAAAACUCUGUUGUUAGGGAAGAACAAGUGCUAGUUGAAUAAGCUGGCACCUUGACGGUACCUAACCAGAAAGCCACGGCUAACUACGUGCCAGCAGCCGCCGUAA
rnacentral:rRNA from 1 species